rnacentral:lncRNA from 1 species
UUGAUAGACUGAGAGAAGAUGUGGAAAUUUUGGAGAAUGAAAUGAAGAGGCGAAGGGAUGUCCUCGCUGCUGCAGAAGUUGAUCUUGAGGCAGCGAAAAGAGACUUGGCAAAGGCAGAAGAAGAGUUCAAGAAGAUAGAUAUGGAUACUGAGCUAGGCUAUCCAUUAACUUAAUUUACUGUACAAGUUUCUCUUGGGUGCAUAUUUUUGUCUCUUUGACGAAGAUAUCCAGUGUUAUAUAGUAUGUACUAGUAAAACUUGGGCGGUUAUGAAUUUUUAAAAUUUAUAUUUGCAACUCCUUUUGAUUCUUUCCAUAUUUUUUUUUUCGAUUCUAUGAGUCAUUGAGACUUAGCGGGCGAGACGUGGUGGGCAUUAAGAUAAGACCAUAAGUAUAGUGCAUACUAAGAGUGAGAGUCCCUGAAUAUAUCAAAGAAUACAUUGAACAAGACCAAAAUGCACAUCAGUAAGCUAAGACAAGAAUUGACAGGCAAUAUUUACGACAUAAGAUAUCUCAAGGUGAGUGAACGUAAGAUAUUGAAGAGCACCAACUGAACUACGAUACCUGGUAGCUUAAUUUUUUACGCUUUAUUCAAAAGUAGUUUGUUGAGUGAUAUUUAUUUGGUGUCAUUUUUUUUAUUUGGCUUUAUUAUAUUUGGUGUUAUGGGCACUACUUGUUUAGUAUAUAUAUAUAUAUAUAUAUAUAUAUAUAUAUGUUAUAAAGAAGUGAAGCCCACAUAGAUAAAGCUAGAGGGUAUUAGUCAAAAGAUGGAGAUAAAGCUAGAGGGUAUUAGUUAAAAGAUGGAAUAAUGAUGUUGGGGAGAAAUCAUUAUGUCUCCCUUAAAAGCCAUUUGCUUUGCCCAUAAAUAGGCAUUAUAUUUGCUUGUAAACACACACGAAUGAGAGAAGAGAAUAGAGUGAGAGUCAGAGAGAAGAGAAAGAGUGAAGUUUAUCUAAGGAGAAAUUCUGUCAGUGUAAACACCACAAAGAGAAAUAUAAUUCCACUCUCAAUAUUACAAUGGUACUUCUCAUACUCUGAUUAUUCUAAUUUUAUAACAAUAUAUAUAUUUAAGGGUUUGACUUUGACCUUUGAUGUUGGUAGAAGAAUGAAGAAUGAGAAAGGAGCUUGUGUCUAUCUGGGACAUUCACAUGAUCUCAGCUACUAAAGACACAUUUCCUCCGAUGUGGCAAUUGCCAAUCAAAGUCGAUUGUCGAAGCUCUCAACUAUAUAACCUAAGGGAGGAGGGUGGUGGGUUGUGGGUCUCUCAACAACAACGGGAAAUCCCCUUUCUUUCUUUUUUUUGGGGGGUGGUGCUGCGGUGGUCUGUUUCAUUGUUGGGGGGGUGGGGGGGUGUUGUCUGUCUUUUUUCUUUCUCUUUAUGUAGUUGCGGCCUAGGGUGGGGGACACUGAAUUCUGGGUUAAUGAGGGUGGGUGGUGGUGAUGGAGAAUGGGGGAAGAAGAAAUUGAUGGGGGAGAGGGAGAGCGUAAAGGAGAGGGGUAGAAGAAAUCGGUGGGGAGAGGGAAAGCGUAAGGAUCGAGAGUGAGAGUUUUAUUUAUUUUUAAAUUUUUAUUUUUUUUGUUUUAAUAUUUUAUUUUUAUUUUAAUCAAUUUAAAAUUUUAAAAAAAGAAAGAGAAAAUGUGAGAUCCCUAGUGCCACAUAGGUAACUAACAGAGAGAUCUGACAGAAAUCCUAACAUCGGAACCAUAUUGUAAUUUAAAGGAUAGAAACUAACAUGUCUUAAGAACCUAUCAAACUUGGACUGGUUAUGAUGGGUUUUGAAGCAUUUGAUUGGGUUGGCUAGGUUUUGAAUCCAAUCCUAUCCUUUUUUUUGCACCAAACAACAUACUAAAAUUAACAUUUUUUUAAUAAAUCAUCUUAUUUUAUUUUAUUAUUAACAAUAAUCAAUUGCAAAAUUCCAACUUUUUGCAUCAAUGCCUUACUUUGUUUUGUAUUCAGAAUCUUUAUUCCUCUCUUUUCAGCAACUUUUUUUUUUCUAAUCGAAAUUUCUUUAUCAGAUAAAAAAUUCAUCUUCUUAUUUUUAGCGAGAAAAAGGGGUAAACCCCAACAACAAAAAAACUAAACAGCCCAUGAACCCAGGCUGGAGCAAUAUCAAAAAUAGCAAAUCCCCAAAAUUCAUCUUUUUAACCAGAAAAAGAAAAUCUAUCUUUUUUAUUAUACAAGAGAAAAGUUGGAGACCAAAACCAAUAUUAUAAUUUGAAACAAAAGAAAAAAAUAUACAGUAUAACUUUCAAAUCAUAGAAAAUAUAAACUAAAAACAUCCCAAAAAAAAAAUUAUGCAAAUUCUGGAUGGGUUCAAUGAAAGGUAUCAAAAGAAAUCAAACCAAAAAAACUACAGCACUCGAUAUCUAACCCUGAAGAAUAGGAUAACAAACAGAGAAAUCAGUUUUCAAAAAAGAAAAAUAAAACAAGAGAAGAGAUGAGAGAAGAAGAAAGAUGAGAGAUGAGAUAGGAGAGGAGAGCAGAGAGACCAGAGACGAUGCGAAGUGGCUGAGGGAGACGACGCGGAGGAGAUGAAGCAAAGAAGACGACGAGAGGGAGACUUCACGUUCGGCAAGAGGAGACAAUGUGAGGUAGUCUUCGAAAACCAUGUCUCGACUUGGGUUUUGAUAUCCAGUGUAUGCUGGAUUCAUAUCCUAAACAAAAAUUGAAGUCCUGGUUAGUGUGUGAUAAAAUUAAGCCCACCAAACAACAGACUUGACCUAUGUUCAUUUUAAUUGAAAAAGUCUUAUCCAGUCCAGCCCAUUAAAUAGGGCCUAAAGGUAUAAUCACAAAGUAUUAAAUUAUAAUUAAUCCUAGGUUUUUUUUUUUUUUUUUUUACAAAAAUAUAAAAAGUAUACAUAUUUACAAAAAUGUAAAAAGUAUACAUAUUUACAAAAAUAUAUAUAUAUAUAUAUAUAUAUAUACAGAGAGCUUCCAUUGAGGGAUCCCUCAAAUAAGCUUAUUUGAGGGACACCCCUUGUAGGCCCCACUCCGGAUUGUAAUUCACUAAUCAUUCCCUGUACGACCUCCUCCCCUCCCACCCUAUCAUACAGUCACCCCAACCAGACCCACCCUACAGCCCUACGUACCAACACCCACACCCCAACUUUUCCCUUCUCCCUCAUCCCUGUCAAAUGCUGUAAUCUUCAAUUUCAAUUUCUUAGAGUUGGUGCCGAAGUCCAGUAACCUUCAAUCUCCCGCCUUGAAUUUCAUCACUAUAGGAGAUUAUGAGGUGUGGCUAAAUCAACAAGCUCCUCAACGCAAACUCCAUUAAUCAAGCUAACACAAACCGUACCCACAAACCCAAUUAGCAGAACCCACAAACCAUACCUGCGGUCUCACGGUCAAAACGCGAUGCGGCCAUGAUGGGGUUGGGGACGACAAUAAUGUGGCGAUUGAGGUUAUGGUGGGGGCUCUUGUGCCAGUGCUUGAGGCCUUAAGCUAUGGCAGCUAUGGAUCUGGGGUGGGAGAGAAGGAGGGAGCUUUUAACCUGAGACUUGACGGCAGCUAUGAAGGAAACAUGCAUCUAAUGCUUAAGAAAUGAACUUUAGCCACAACCUAUACAACAAAAAUAUUCUAAACGACGAAUUCAUUUUGUUUAUACUAGUUGAGGUAAACCUUUUUCAUUUUAAACCAAGUAUCUUAGCCUAGUCUCUUUGAACACAAACAGAAAAAGGAAAAAGGGAAUAUAUCUUUACCCUUGAUGAUAUUUUCUUGAUUUAUCAAGAAUGGACACCUUUGUUGGAAAGGCCUUUUGUUUCUCUUGAUUUUGAUUCCUUCACAUUAAGGCUCCAAGAUUGGAGUUCUUUACCUCACCAUACCAAAUGCUCCUAGAGAUGAAGAGAAGGCAAUCAAGAAGUAUAGAUGCUACUCUACUUCUUGAUUGGACCAAUUUGUGGUUUAUGGAAGAUGAGAUACAAAGAUAUUCAUUCAUCAACCAAAGUAGGAAACCAAAAAACCCUAGCUAGUUUUUCUCCAACACUUAGCUUAUAUAGGACAACAUAAAAGGCAAUUGAGUGGGUAUUUGGGGCUCCAUUUGGUCCAUAGGUCAUGUCAUCUUAUGCCACUUAUCCCUUAGGCCCAAUAGACUUUUGGACUAUUUUGUCCAUUUCCUUCUAAAUCGUAUCUAAAAGCUCAAUCCAAUAUUUUUAUAUGUCAAUAUUAAUUUUAUAAUUAAUCUUUUAAUUAUAAUUUAACUAUUAAAUUAUAAUUAUAGUCGUACUUAAUUGACCAGAUUGAACUAUUUGACUUUGGUCAAUUGCUCCGGUCAACAUGUUGACUUUUGACCAUUGAUUUUGACAUUUGAUUAUCAACCAUUGACUUGUGUCUCCUCAGUUCAUUUCUCCUCAUUUCUACCUCAGGUAAAUUACUCAAAUGGUCCUCAAAUUUGUACCCGAUUUAUAUUUUGGUCCAUAAACUAAAUUAUUCGUUCAGAUGGUCCACCAACUCUUUAUUAAUCGGCGCUUUGGUCCUACCAUUACAUUUUAUGUUAAAUUUAGUCAUGUGAGCAGCACAUGCUACAUUUGUGGGGGCAAAUAAGACUUUUGACCUAUGUAUGUAUCACCACUUUAUCACCUAUGUAUCACUACUUUAUCACAAUGUAUCACCGCUUUAUCACCUAUGUAUCACCGCUUUAUCACCAAUGUAUCACCGCUUUAUCACCUAUGUAUCACCGCUUUAUCACCUAUUUGGGGAAUAUAGGACAGUCAUGGACGGUUUUGCUCUUACAUUUGACGGCAACAUUAACAUAAUGUAACGGUAAGAUCAAUAGAGCGAUUAAUAUAGAGUUGAUGGACCAUUUGAAGGAAUAAUUUAAUUGAAGGACCAAAAUGUAAAUCGGUUAUAAGUUUGAGGACCAUUUGAGUAAUUUACCCUUUGUACCUCUAAUCACAUUCUUUGACUGUGCAGAUUCGUAGGUUCCCUUUAGCAAGGUAGUAGGUUGACUCAACUCCUUAGAGAUGAUAUACGAAUUAAAUUCCACAAUUAAAUUCUUUCUAUUAAAUAAAGGUUAAUUGAAACCUUUUAGGACAUCCACAAACCAUGGUUGUUGCCCAGCAAGGCACUGUUAUCUGAGCUAAAUGAGACAUUGUGAAAGAACCUAUUCAAAUUAGAAUGACCGUGCAAUUGAAUCCUUCUCUUAUGUCAAUACUCCUUAUUCACAUUAUUAGAUCAUGGAAUCCGAUUGUCAAUAUCCUAAUGUGAAUCAUUCCUUUUAUAUGAUUAUCCUGAUAAGAUUUGAAGACUUCUUCAUUCAAGUCUUAUCCACUACUCUGCGCCGAGAUUUGACCAAUCAUAUCUUGGAGUAUUCUCUCUCCUUUAUUGAGAAUAGAGAUUCCUAAUUGUACAUUCAUUUGCUUCAUGAAUCUAUUGAGUAUCCAGAUGAGCACCUUUAAGCUAUGCCUCAUUCAACAUGACUGUAUAGUGCCAUCAAAGAUUAACAACAUAGCCACAAAACAUCUAUGAUGCCUCAGGUCAAAGGAUUAGUUUUGCACCAUUACAAUUUAUGAGUUCCUGCUUGACAUGUGAGUAAAGACUUCCAUGCUGUAACUUAUGCGUUGGAUUGCAUUCAGUGUACUUGUUCUUCUACAAGCACCUACACACAUAUGGAUGUGUCUCCAUACUUAAUGACUUGAGAUCUUGCCAUUCCCUAUAUAUAAUGAUGAUUUAAUGUAUAAAACAACCUUUCUUGCCUAUUGAUAACAUAAUAUGUCUUUAAUCAAAGAUGUCCUUAACUCUAAACUCUAAGGGCAUAUUUCUAACAGGCUAUGAAUCUGUCAAUGUCACUCUUAGAGAGUGACAAAAGAGUUAUUCUAUGUCACUAUCUAACAGUGACUGGACCGGAUUGUCCAAUUUUGGAAGGGGUGGACUAUUUUAACAAUUUGCCUUCCUAUUUGUCCUUUUUUGGUAAAACCCCAUUAAAAUUUGCUAUGAUUCAAUAUACAUACGAAAAUGUUGGAAACUUAGGAUCCGUUUGGUAUCCUACUUGGAUCCAAUUUUUUAAACUCAAAAAUAGAAGUCCAAAGCCCAAAAAACCUAUUUGGUAGGCCAAUUUUUUAAAAUUCAAACCCAAAUAAAAAACUCAACACCCCCAUUAUUGAAAACAAAACAAAGUGAGAUUUUAGGAUUCUUUUCUCUCUCCCCUCCCUCCUCCACACACACACACACACACACACACACACACACACACACACACACACACACACACACACACACACACACACACACACACACACACACACACACUCUCUCUCUCUCUCUCUCUCUCUCUCUCUCUCUCUCUCCCCUUUCUUUUGUUAAUUCCCAAUUUGGGAAUUAGCGUUUCUGAUUUUCUGAUUUUAAUUUCAAUUUUUUUUAGAUUUUGAAAAUAUUUUGGAGUUGAAUACCAAACAAUUUUAUAGAUCUUAAAAUCAAUAUUUAAACCCAUGUUUUAAAAAAAAUCUUAAUUUCUGAGUAGGAUACCAAACGGACCCUUAAUUCUUUUACGAAUUAAAUUAUUUUAUUUGAACAAACAACAGUUAAAUUUAUUCAAAAGGCAAAGGGCGCAACGUCUCAGUUUUUAAUUUGUUUCGUCAAAACUUUAUUCAUGAUUAGUCACAACUCAUCAAAUACUAUUGUUAAAUAAUUUAAAACUAAAAUGUUGUUUAAUAACUAUUUCAUUUUCAGUUUUCAGUUUCGUUGUUCGCUUUAUUUAUUUAUUUAAAUUGUAAAAUAUUUCGUUUUUCAGUUUUCAAAAUCACCCUUAUUUUUAAAAACAACUUGAACGUAUUUUCAGUUUUUGUUUUCAUUUUUUAUGGUCCCUACUCCAUUCACUAAUUUUGUAUCACCGCACAUGAAAUGGCACUCCAGUUACCAAAAUUCAGUAUUUGUGACCUCUCGACUUAGACUUGGCUGCUCGAUUCUUCCGUUUUGGCUAGUACUAGUAUGCCCUUAAAGCCAACUAAUUAUGUGAUAGUUAAGGACAUCUUUUGUAAUAAGUUAUUAAGUUAUUCAUGGGUAAGACAGUUGUUUUUAACCAUGAUAUUUGGUCUAUUAUCAUAGAAGUAAAACAACUUUAGUCCUAGGAAUAUGAAAGGUGAUCUUCUGCCAAGAUCAGUACACACAAUAUUCUCUAAAUGUAGAGGAUGACGAGAUCUCAAGUCAUGAAGUGUGGUCACACCAAGAUAUGUGUGUAGGUGCUUGCAAGAGAACAAGUACACUGAACGCGGUCAAAUAUAUGAGUUCUAAAAUGGAAGUCUUUAGUCACAUGUCAAACUAGAACUCAUAAAUUGCAAUGGUGCAAACUAGAACAUUUGACUACCUCUGCUUCUAUUAAUAUGCCAAAAUAACUGCUUUAAUAUACCAUGGUAAUUUCACACACACGCUAUUAAAGUGCCAAAAGAUUUCCAACUUGUGAUCACUAUUUGCAAAUCAAGACUCUUUUUCACAUAACUAGACCUCAUUGGCAUCAACUUGGUGCUUUACAUCAUAGUAGUAGUGAAAAUAUAUUAUGCACAUAGGAGUUGUACUCUUUAAAUUAAUUAAGGGAUUCCUACAGGGAUUUUGUGAUCAAUAUGACCUUCAUGUAUUAUCUUCUUGCAUAAUCUAGUCUAUAUCCCCAGUACGAAUGAUUUCUUGUAACUUUCUUCUACUUAAGAUACCCACCUUAUUUCAGAAAAAGAAAGACAGUAUUAGAUGAAGUUAGAAUAAAUUAAUUUUUUGAAGUGAAAAAUGAAAAAAAUAAAUGAAUAAAAAAAACUCAAAUUAAUUAUUUCAAUAUAUAUGCGUAGAUGAUUGACGUUUGGUUAUUCCUGAUUUGAAGCUUUCUAGAUUUCAUUGAUAAAAAGAGAGGAGGAUUGAGAGCUUGCAUGCUUCUUACACACAGACGUAUAUAUAAUUAUAUACGGUCAUUCUAAGUCUUAAAAUUUGUAUUCAAUUUGAAGGAGAAACUCACCAGGAUGAUCCAGAUUUAUGGAGUUGUCGUUUGUAGGCUCUUAUUUAGAAUAUAAUAUUUAAGAAAAAUAAGAUAAGAGGUCUAAGGAAGGAUGAAGCCGGCAGGCCCUUUCGAUGUGGGAAACCACAUCCCCGUUCAUGUUGCUAUGACUCAGACCCGAAAAGAAAAUGAAGAAAUGACCAGAAAAUAGGAGGUUUCUAGCUUUGGAAUAAAGUUUGAAACUCUCCUAACGGUGGAGCAAUGGAGAAGAUUACAUCGAUAUUGGAGAGAGAAACUAAAGUUUGAAACCUGCAAAUUGUUUGUUACUAAAUUACCAUCUUUGUAUUAAGAGUAUCUGCUUGAUGGGCGUAGGAGUUGUGCUCUUUAUUAAUUAAUCAAGGGAUUCCUUUAGAGGCAUGACCUUUAUUUAUCUUCUUCUUGUUCUUAAGAACAUUUGUUCCUUUCUGCUUUUGAAAAAAAGAAAAACAAACAAACAAACAAAUAAACUCAUCUAGUCUACGUCCCAAUAUCCAUAAUUUAUAAUUAUUGAUUCUUUCUUGUAAAUUUCUACUCAUGAUGCCCACUUUACUUCAAAAAAAAAAAAAGAAAGACUAGUGUUCCGAUCCAUAAUUGACUGAACAAGGUUUAGGGGCAAAUUGAAUUUUUUGGUACAAAUUUUUUGAUUCAGAUUUUUUGGUACAAGUUCAUGGGGGAUUUCGAUAGUUGACUCAAUGUCAAUUGAACAUAUUGUUAAACAACAUUCUCUACAUAUCCAUAUACAUAAAAACUAGGAUUUGUCAUUGGGUCAGGCGGUCCAAAAUUUUUGGAUUUGGGUUGGAUUUAUCGUGCUUUUUUGGGUUAGGUCAAGUCGGGCCAAGGUUUCAAAUGUCUUGGCCUGGUCCCCACCCUAUUGGGCCAAGACGGGCUUGGUGAGCCGGGCGUUUUUUUUCUUCUAAGUAUUUUAUAACAAGGUUAGGGAGUGACUCUCCACUAUGUGGCUACAUGUGGAAUUGAUACAUGAUACAUCAUUUGGUUUGCACGUCAUUUGUAUUGUACAAGGAUGCAUGUAACUGAUACAUUUGAUUAUUUCAAGAGUUUGUGUGGUGGUCGAUUGGGAGAUAAUGUUGCCAUACAUGUAACUCCAGAUCCAGUGCCUAGGAGAAGUAAUUAAAAGACAAGAAUUUUGCAUCCGCUAGCCAAAUAUGUACCAAAUAAAUUUGCCACUAUUUUCAAUACCGAUGAAAUCAAUUGAGGUGCUUGAAUUUAAAUUAGCCCACUUGUGAUAUUAAAUGCAAUAUUAUAUAAACUUUAUGGGUGGAUCGGGUUGGGCUUACAUGGGCUUAAACGGCCUAUCUUAAAGAUUUCAAACCAUUGAUCCAAGUUCUAUCUAAUCUUAGAGAUGGCUGGGCCUAGCCGACCUAAAACAUAGGAGGAGAUUUUCGCUCUCUCACUCUUUUUUUCAUUUUAUUUCUAGAAGAAGAAGACUUUUGCUCUCUCUCUCUCUCUCUCUCUCUCUCUCUCUCUCUCUCUCUCUCUUACAUUUCUUGGUGGAGGAGCAUACAUAUGAUUCUUGUUUUAGUGAUGUCAUAUGUAUGUUCCUAUCUUUCUCUAUCUCUCUUUUACAUUUCUUGGUGGAGGCGGCAUGCAUAUGGUUCUUAUUCUUGUGAUGUUUGUUCCUAUAUAUGCAAUCAUGCGAGGCCUAAGUUGUAGUGGAAAACUAAUUAAUUUUACUAUCUUUAAUGGAGAAAUUCUAGCAUCAGCAAAUUUGAGUUUUUGUUCAAUAUUUUGUGGCGUGUUCGGACUCUGUCUUCCAGAGGUUUAGGGUAUUAAACAAGAAUUUAAAAAGAAGAAUAGUUUGUAUGCAAAAUUUACUUUCCACUUCGUCAGUUGGAAGGUAAGUAAUUCUCCGUUAUGUUAUGAGCUUUAUUCUACUCUUUUUUCUUUAUGAGCUUUAUUCUACUCUUUUUUCUUUGUUAUUUUAUUUUAUGGGAUUGAGCUUGGUAGAAUGAAGAAGGAGGAAGAGGAAGAAGAGGACCUUGUGCGUGGGACGUUCACCUGGAGAAUCAACAAUUUCUCCACGCUGAACAACCUAGCGCAUUAUUCUGAUGUUUUCGUCAUUUGUGGUUAUAAAUGGUAGACUCUUUUUUUUUCCUUUUUUUUUUCCUGGGAUAAUAAUUGGUUAAUAUGUAGACUUAAUCAUCUUGGGUUGGUUUGAACAGGCGGAUCAUUAUAUAUCCUAAGGGGAACAACGUAGAUUACUUGUCCCUGUAUUUGGAUGUUGCAGAUGCUUCAACAUUGCGAUCUGGGUGGACCAGAUAUGCCAAGUUCAGCCUCACCGUGGUUAAUCAACUUGAUAGCAAGAAGUCAAUCACAAGGGGUAUAUAUCUUUAUCUUGUGGCUUGUCAUUUGUUAAAGCGACUUGUUAAAUGAAAUUUUUAGUGUUUUUUUUAAACUUACAUUGGAAAGAAAAAUAAUUUCUUUACCUAUAUUAACUUCAACUCUGGUUUUUUCUAGUAUCAACAAUCCUCCCUAUCUCUCCGUUAGUUAUGAUCUGGAUGGUCGAAUGGCUUACAAGCUAGAUAUACACUACUAUAAUAUACCACCAAAUGGUUGUGUUAAAGCUGUUAAUUCAUCUUGAUCACUCAUGAUCAUUGUCAUUUAUUAGUUCAUAGCUGAUCAUUGUUUCUCAUGAUGGUCAGGCAUACAUAUGACUCUCUUAGUUGUUUUGGUGGUGUCACCUGUAUGUUCCUAUAUAUGCAAGCAUAUGAUGUCAACUAGUUUCUAGGCUGCGACGCCUAAGUUGUAGUGGAUACUGUAAUUAGGCUUUAAAGUUGAGUCAGAAUAUUUUUUUACCUGUUUUGUUGUUUUUUUAUAUCUGUUCGCUUUAACGGGCUUCCUAUAUCAUUCAUACUGCUUCGUUAUACACAUGUUUUGAUUCUUGGUUCAUGUUUUUGUGAUCCUUGAUAUACAUUUCAUUUUCACAGAUUUAGAACAUGAGUUUGCGGCAAAUGAUAGUAACUGGGGUAUUAAAUCAUUCAUUCUUCUAAGUGAGCUUCGUGAUCAUAAUAAAGGGUAUCUUGUCAAUGAUUUGUGUGUUGUUGAAGUCAAAGUUUCAGUUCGUAAUGGUAUUAAGAUUUUAGAAGACCAAGAAACUGGGGAGCUUAUCGAUUUCAGGGGCUUAGGACGAGUAGAGAAAACUUUUGUUCCAUUUCUAGAGGAAGUUUGUUCGUCCUAUCCUUCCUUGCUCGAGUGCCAUAAGAAGAGAAGUCGUCCGUUUAUUCAAUGUGCAUACACAGCUCUGGGCCGACUCUUGCGUUUUCUGAAGACUACAAAGGCCAAGGAUAUGACCCGUGAUGCUUGUAAACGCCUUCAACUGUUAUGGGAGGAGCUUGAGACCUUCAAAUUUGACUUGGCUUGGCUGGAGCCUCAUGUUCAAUUGGUUUUGGUCAUGAAGAAAAGGGCAGGAAGAGUUGAUAGACUGAGAGAAGAUGUGGAAAUUUUGGAGAAUGAAAUAAAGAGGCGAAGGGAUGUCCUUGCUACUGCGGAAGUUGAUCUUGAGGCAGCGAAAAGAGACUUGGCAAAGGCAGAAGAAGAGUUCAAGAAGAUAGAUAUGGAUACUGAGCUAGGCUAUCCAUUACCUUAAUUUACUGUACAAGUUUCUCUUGGGUGCAUAUUUGUCUCUUUGACGAAGAUAUCCAGUGUUACAUAAUAUGUACUAGUAAAACUUGGGCGAUUAUGAAUUUUUAAAAUUUAUAUUUGCAACUCCUUUUGAUUCUUUCCAUAUUUUUUUUUUCCGAUUCUAUGAAUCAUUGAGACUUAGCGGGUGAGACGUGGUGGGCAAUUUGAAUGCCCACCCCUACUAUACCCAACAAGAGAGAUAAGACCAUAAGUAUAGUGCAUACUAUGAGUAAGAGUCCCUGAAUAUAUCAAAGAAUACAUUGAACAAGACCAAAAUGCACAUCAGUAAGCUAAGACAAGAAUUGACAAGCAAUAUUUACGAUAUAAGCUAUCUCAAGGCGAGUGAACGUAAGAUAUUGAAGAGCACCAAUCGAACUACGAUACCUGAUAGCUUAAUUUUUUUACGCUUUAUUCAAAAGUAGUUUAUUGAGUGAUAUUUGUUUGGUGUCUUUUUUUUUUUAUUUGGCUUUAUUAUAUUUGGUGUUAUGGGCACUACUUGUUUACUAUAUAUAUAUAUAUAUAUAUAUAUAUAUAUGUAUUUAAGGGUUUGACUUUGACCUUUGAUGUUGGUAGAAGAAUGAAGAAUGAGAAAGGAGCUUGUGUCUGGGACAUUCACAUGAAAAAUUGACUUCUAACUUGAAUACGACAAAGCUUUACUAUGACGUUUUCGUCAUUAUUGGUUAUGACUGGUCCCUAUUUGGCCAUACCUCCAAUUUACAAGCGCAAAAUUUUGUGCUUAGAUAUUUGUGUUGAUACAUAAUGGUUAGUUUUUAUUUUCUAUGGCCUAAAUUGACUUGGUUGGUACAAUCAGGAGGGUCCUUAUAUAUCCAAAGGGGAAACAAAGUAGCUGUUUGUAUCAUAAUCAACUGAGUAUAUUUUUUGGGGGAUCAGCGCGCAAACAGACUCGAAGACUGAUGACACCGUCAUGAUCUUAGCUACUAAAGACAACUUUUCUCCGACUUGGCAAAUGCCAACCGAAGGCGAUUGCCAAAGCUCUCAACUAUAUAACCUAAGGGAGGAUGGGUGGUGGGUUGUGAUCUCUCAACAACAAAGGGAAAUCCGGUUUGGGGGGAGAGGGGGUCUGGGUCAAUGUUGGAUUCGUUUUGGGUGGGUGGGGUGUGUCUUCUGUAGUUGUGGGUGUCUUUUUUCUUUCUCUUUUCUGUAGUUGUGGGCUAGAGUGGGGGGGUGCUGGAUUCUGGGUUCAUGCGGGCGGGUGGUGGUGAUGGGGAAUGAGGGGAGAGGGAAAGCGUAAGGAGCGAGAGUGAGAGUUUUAUUUAUUUAUCAAUUUUUUUGUUUUAAUGUUUUAUUUAUAUUUUAAUCAAUUUAAAAUUAAAAAAAAGAAAAGAAAAUGUGAGAUUCCUUGUGCCACAUAAGCAACUAACAGAGAGAUUUGACAGAAAACCUAACGGCGGAACUACAUUGUAAUAAAUUAAGAAGAUGAGGGUAUUUGAUUGUAAAAAUUGAAAAGAUAGGAACUAACAUGUCUUAAGACCCCAUUUGAUGGACUGGCUUGGACUAGUUAGGAUGGACUUUGAAGCAUUGGAUUGAGCUGGCUAGGUUUUGAAUUCAAUCCUUCAUUUUUUGCACCAAAUAACAUACUAAAAUUAACAUUUUUUUUUAAUAAAUAAUUUUAUUUUAUUUUAUUAUUAACAAUAAUCAAAUGCAAAAUUCCAACUUUUUGCAUCAAUGCCUUACUUUGUUUUGUCUUCAAAAUCUUUCUUCCUCUUUUUUCAGUAUUUUUUUUUUCUAAUCGAAUUUUCUUUAUCAGAUAAAAAAUUCACAUUCUUAUUUUUGGCGAGAAAAAGGGGUAAACUCCAACAACAAACAAACUAAGCAGCCCAUGAUCCCAGGCUGGAGCAAUAUCAAAAUAGUAAACUCCCAAAAUUCAUCUUUUAUUUUACCAGAAAAAGAAAAAGGGUCAUUCUUUUUCUAUCAAAAGAAAAUCUAUCUUUUUUAUUAUACAAGAGAAAAGAUUGUAGACCAAAACCAAUAUGGUAAUUUGAAACAAAAGAAAAAAAAUCUACAGUAUAGCUUUCAGAUCAUAGAAAAUACAAACUAAAAACAACAUCCAAAAAAAAAAAAAGUUAUGCAAAUUCUAGAUGGGAACAGAUCUCAAUGAAAGGUAUCAUAAGAAAUCAAACCCAAAAAACUACAGCACUCAAUAUCUAACCCAGAAAAAUAGGAUAACAAACAGAGAAAUCUGUUUUUGAAAAAGAAAAAUCAAAAGAGAGAAGAGAUAAGAGAAGAAGAGAGAUGAGAGAUGAGAGAGGAGAGGAGAGGAGAGAGAGCAGAGAUGAUGUGAAGUGGUUGAGGGAGACAACGUUGAGGAGACGACAAAGAGGAGAUGAAGUGAAGGAGACGAUGAGAGGAAGACUUCACAUUUGGCAAGAGGAGACAAUGCGAGGUAGUCUUCGAAACCCAUGUCUCAACGUGGGUUUUGAUAUUCAGUGUAUGCUGGAUUCAUAUCCUAAACAAAAAUUUAAGUCCUAGCUAGUGUGUAAUACAAUUAAGCCAACCAAACAAUAGACUGGAUCCAUGUCCAUUUUAAUUGAAAAAGUCUUCUUUCAAAUCUUAUCCAUUACUCAGCGCAGAGAUUUGAUCAAACAUAUCCUUGGAGCAUUCUUUCUCUUUAUUGAGAAUGGAGACUCCUUGUUGUACAUUCAUUUGCCUCCAUGGCUUUAUUAAGAGUCCGGACAAACAUCUUUAGGUCAUGUCUUCUACAACACAAUUGUAUAACGCCCUCAAAGACAAACAACAUAGCCACAAGACAUCUAUGAUGUCUCAGAUCUAAGAAUUAGUUUGCACCAUUGCAAUCUAUGAGUUCUAGUUUGACAUGUGAGUGAAGACUUUCAUUCUAGAACUCACGUAUUUGAUUGCGUUCAGUGGUAUAUAUUCCUAGGACUAUAGUUGUUUUAGUGUUAUGAUAAUAUACUAAAUAUCAUUUUUGAAAACAACUGAUCUUGCCAUUGAAUAACUUAAUAAGUCAUUACAUAAGAUGUCCUUAACAUUAAUUAUCACAUAAUUAGUUGGCGUUAAGGGCAUACUACUAACAUUACCUCCAUAGGAAUGAAAAAAUCAUCCUCCCUCAUGACGGCAAUCCCAAGAUCGAUACUUUGAUACCAUGCUAAAAUAUGAGCGAAUAAUAGUUGUGAAAAUUUUCUGUGUAUUCCUCUCCUUGUAGGAGGCCACAUUUAUAAAAUAACAGAGCCUUAGAGGCCAAGUAAGGUAAUAAAUUCAUAUUUCUAUUUAAAGUUACAAAUCAUGAAUUAAAGAAAAUCAAUUACAUUUAAUGCAAGAAUCUUUAAAGUGCAAGAGAAGUCAUAUGGGUCCACAAAUCACUCCAAUAACAAAUGGAGUUGUCGUGGGUUACCACGGGAGAGCUCAAUGGAGGUAAUAAGUAGCAAUAGGACUUUAUAGGACAAACACCCAUUAUGGGUGAGGGGCUCCAACGAAUCUCAAUGUUGGAAAUUAGAGGAUUGCUAUUUGGAGUUAGCCAUGAGGCUCUAAUACCAUGAAAGAUUUUGGUAAGAUUGAUAAUAAUCGGCUACUGUGGCAGUGAUUGGUCAGGGAGUGAGGAUGAGAUGAGAAGCACCUCUGGAUAUGCAUUUAAUCUUGGAUCAGGUGUGUUCUCUUGGGCUUCAGUCAAGCAAAGUAGUGUAGCUCUGUCUACAGCUGAGGCAGAGUACGUUAGUGCAGCAAAAGCCACUGCGCAAGCAAUCUGGUUGCGCUUUGUUCUCUCAGAUUUUGGUGAAGAACAGGUGGGUGCUACUACAAUUCUAUGUGAUCAUACCUCUGCUAUUGCUAUAACUAAGAAUCCGGUGCGUCAUCAUAAGACAAGGCAUAUAAAUAGAAGGUUUCACUUCAUCUGAGAUGCUUUGCAAAAUGGAGAGAUUGAUUUGCUGUAUUGCAAAACUGAAGAACAGACUGCAGACAUCUUUACUAAGGCUUUAGCAAGAGAUCAGUUUGAAUACCUGAGAAGAAAGCUUGGAGUAAUCUCACCUAAACACUUAGAAGGGAGUGUUGAAAUAUAAGUGUUUUAGCUUAUAUGAUUUUGUAUUUAGUUUAAAUUUACAGAUUUAAAUGUGAGCCCUUGGAUUAUAGUCCAAGUGGACAGCUAAGAUCUAAUCUUAGAAUAGAAGAAUGGAUGGCUAGAUUUGGAUGAUGUAAUUUGGAAUAUCUUAUUCCAGCUGUUAUUAGUGCACAGUGUGUGCGUGAGAACAAUAACAGAUUUCUUCUUUUUGCUCCUUCCUGAAGCUCUCUCUCACUCUGAAAAUUCCUCUGAAACUUCUACUCAUUCUGUAGCAUUUAGUAUUAUGCAAGUUACAAUUCACUUCAUAGUCUGAAUUCUAACAUGGCCUCAGAGCCAGGUUCGAUUGUUUAGCUGGGUGAUUGAAUUUGUGAAGAAAGUGAGAUGCGAUUUGAAGAACUGGGUUUCUUGAAGAUCUGUAUCUAACAUGGCAGGGUCUGGAGGUGGUGAGCUAAGGGCUCCGAUCUUUGAAGGUGAUAACUAUGAGUUCUGGAGCAUAAGAAUGAAAACCAUUUUCAAAUCUUAUGGGCUUUGGGAAUUGGUUGAGAAGGGAAUAGAUUGCUCAGAUUCAAAGGGAGCUAGCGAAUCUGACACAAAGAAGAAAGAAAAGGAAGAAUCGAGUGGUGCUGGGAAGAUGACUGUCACUGAGCUACUCAUGAAGGAUGCUAAAGCUCUGGGUCUGAUUCAAGGAGCAGUGUCUGAUGAGAUCUGCCCCCAAAUCUCUCAUGAAGAAACCUCUAAGGGAGCUUGGGAUAUCUUGAUGAAGGAAUUCCAUGGUGAUAAAUAGGUUAAAAGUGUUAAAUUGCAAGGUCUACGUAGAGAAUUUGAAUAUACGAGAAUGAGAGAUGAUGAGUCCCUUUCUGCUUAUCUUACCAAACUGAUUGAUCUGAUAAACCAAAUGAGGAGCUAUGGAGAGGAUUUAGCUAGAGCUAGGAUUGUUCAAAAAUUACUAAUCAGUUUGCCAUCAGCUUAUGAUUCAAUCUGUUCUGUUAUUGAGCAUUCUAAGGAUUUGGAUGAAAUUGAGGUACAAGAAGUGGUAGCUUCUUUGAAGAGUUUUGAAUUAAGGCUAGAUAGGCACUCUGGAUAUAAGGCUAAGAAAGCAUUUGCUAGUCUUAGUGUGAAUCCCAAAUCAGAAAAAUACAGUGGAAGUCAAAGUGGUUAUAAGGAUCAAAAGAAUUGGAAGACAAAAGGCAAAAAGUGGGAUAAUAAACCACCUGAUGGAGCUAGAAACCCCUGCAAACAUUGUGGCAAGCUACAUUUUGGUGAGUGUCGGUUUAAGGGAAAACCAAAAUGUUACAACUAUGAUAAAUUUGGGCAUAUUGCAAAAGAUUGCUACAACAAGAAACCAGCACAACAGCUCAACUAUGCUACUCAGACCGAAUCCAUACCAACCAUGUUUUAUGCUAGUAAUAAAGGCUCUGCUAGUGUAAAAGGAUGUGAUGGUGUAUGGCAUUUGGAUUGCAGAUGCAGCAAUCAUAUGACUGGCAGAGAAGAUGUAUUAAUUGAUGUUGAUAGGAAUAUAACUGCAAAAGUUGCAAUGGGGACAUGACAAUUGGUUAAUGUUGUUGGAAAAGGAAAUCUUGUUGUUGACACUAAGAUGGGAAGAAAGUAUGUCAAAGAGGUCCUGUUAGUUGCUGGUCUCAAGGAGAAUUUGCUCAGUGUAGGGCAAAUGAUGGAGCAUGGAUAUGUUCUGAUUUUUGGUGCCAAUAAGGCUGAGAUUUAUGACGAUAGUUCUCUAUCAAAUCUGGUUGCUAAGUUGCAAAUGAAAGGCAACAGAAGCUUUCCUUUGAAGCUUCACACAACUUUACAGGUUGCUUUAAGAGCAAAUGUCGAGUCAUCCUUAAUUUGGCAUAGAAGAAUGGGGCAUUUAAACUUCACUAGUUUGAAGCUGGUACUUGCAUUACCAUAAAUUAAGACUGUCAAUGAAGUGUGUGAGGGCUGUACUUUUGGAAAACAUUGCAGAGAUUCUUUUCCAAAAGAGACAACAAGCAGAGCCACAAUCCCACUUGAGUUGGUACACACAGAUGUCUGUGGACCAAUGCAGACGGUUACUAAAGCUGGAAAUAGGUAUUUUCUUACCUUCAUAGACGAUUGUACUCAUAUGUGUUGGAUAUACUUCCAAUGAAUUCAACAAGUUUUGUGAAGACAUGGGAAUGGAAAGGCAGCUAACUGUGGCAUAUUCACCACAGCAAAAUGGAGUUGCAGAACGAAAGAACAGAACAAUUAUGGAGAUGGCUAAACGCAUGAUGAUUGAGAAGAAGAUGUCUCUAGAAUUUUGGGCUGAGGCAGUAAACACUGUUGUGUAUGUUCAGAACAGAUGUCCAACUAAGGCCUUAGACAAGAAAACUCCAUUUGAAGCUUAUAGUGGCAGAAAGCCAGGAGUUAAGCACUUAAGAGUGUUUGGUUCUUUGUGCUAUGCACAUGUUCCAAAUCAACAAAGGCAAAAACUCGACUUAGCUAGUACAAGAUGUAUAUUUCUGGGGUAUGGCAGCUGUGAAAAAGGCUACAGAUUAAAUAAUAUUGCAUCUGGAAAAAUGAUUAUUUCCAGGGAUGUGAUAUUCAAUGAGGCAGCUGUUUGGGAUUGGAAUGCACGAAAGGAAUGUGAUAUCUCAAUACCUCUUAAUGAGACACUCACUGAGAGAGAAGAGGAACCUAGUGAUUCUAGCCUGAGUCAAGAAGAGAUUUCAGAAGAGGGGCAUGCUGAUCCUGACUCAGGAUCACAGGAUGUUGAUCACACACCUUUGAAAUACAAGAGUAUUGCAGAAAUGUAUGCAAGAUGUAACUUGUGUAUUAUCGAGCUUGAGAUUUUUGAAGAGCUGUUAAAGAUGAAGCAUGGCAGAAAGCAAUGGAGAAUGAGAUAGAAAUGAUAGAGAAGAACAAGACUUAGGAGUUGGUUGAUAGACCAACUGAUAAACCAGUGAUUGGUGUCAAAUGGAUUUAUAAAACCAAGUUGAAUUUAAAUGGUACAGUUCAGAAAAACAAGGCUCGACUAGUGGCAAAGGGCUAUUCUCAAAAGCCAGGGAUAGACUUCAAUGAAACGUUUGCACCUGUUGCUAGGUUGGAUACCAUUAAAACAUUGCUGGCAUUGGCUGCACAAAAAGGGUGUAAACUGUUUCAGUUAGAUGUAAAGUCUGCAUUCUUGAAUGGAGUGUUGCAUGAAGAGGUGUAUGUGGAUCAACCUCCUGGUUUUAUAGUUAAGAACAAAGAGGACAGAGUGUAUAGACUCAAGAAGGCAUUAUAUGGACUUAAACAAGCUCCAAGAGCUUGGUAUGAAGAAAUCAAUUCUUACUUCACCAAGGCAGGUUUUCAGAGAAGUCCUAGUGAGGCAACACUAUAUGUAAAGGUUGCAGAAAGUGGUAUUAUUAUCGUUUCUUUAUAUGUAGAUGAUAUUAUCUACACUGGAAGCUCAAAAGCCUUGAUGAUGGAGUGCAAAACUAAAAUGAUGAGGCAAUAUGAAAUGACUGAUCUUGGUUUGCUUCACCAUUUCUUGGGGUUAGGAGUGAUACAAACCGAGUCUUACAUUUUCUUGCACCAGAAGAAAUAUGCUAAGACAUUGCUAGACAAAUUUGGCUUUAAGGAUUGUAAAGCUGUAGCUACUCCUCUUGCAAUGAAUGAAAAACUAUCCAAGGAAGAUGGGAGUGAACAAGCUGAUGAAGGGGUCUAUAGGUAGAUUGUUGGAAGUCUGUUGUACUUGACUGCAACAAGGCCAGACAUCAUGUUCGCAGCGAGUCUUUUGGCUAGAUUUAUGCAUGGACCUACUAGAAAACAUAUGGGAACUGCCAAAAGGGUACUGAGGUACAUUCAAGGAACUUUUGAUUAUGGCAUAGCUUAUGAGAAAGGAAAAGAAGCAAGGCUCAUCGGCUACUGUGACAGUGAUUGGUCAGGGAGUGAGGGUGACAUGAGAAGCACCUCUGGAUAUGCAUUUAAUCUUGGAUCAGGUGUGUUCUCUUGGGCUUCAGUCAAGCAAAGUAGUGUAGCUCUGUCUACAGCCGAGGCAAAGUACGUUAGUGCAGCAGAAGCCACUGCACAAGCAAUCUGGUUGCGCUUUGUUCCCUCAGAUUUUGGUGAAGAACAGGUGGGUGCUACUACAAUUCUAUGUAAUCAUACCUCUGCUAUUGCUAUAACUAAGAAUCCGGUGCGUCAUCAUAAGACAAGGCAUAUAAAUAGAAGGUUUCACUUCAUCUGAGAUGCUUUGCAAAAUGGAGAGAUUGAUUUGCUGUAUUGCAAAACUGAAGAACAGACUGCAGACAUCUUUACCAAGGCUCUAGCAAGAGAUCGGUUUGAAUACCUGAGAAGAAAGCUUGGAGUAAUCUCACCUAAACACUUAGAAGGGAGUGCUGAAAUAUAAGUGUUUUAGCUUAUAUGAUUUUGUAUUUAGUUUAAAUUUACAGAUUUAAAUGUGAGCCCUUGGAUUAUAGUCCAAGUGGACAGCUAAGAUCUAAUCUUAGAAUAGAAGAAUGGAUGGCUAGAUUUGGAUGAUGUAAUUUGGAAUAUCUUAUUCCAGCUGUUAUUAGUGCACAGUGUGUGCGUGAGAACAAUAACAGAUUUCUUCCUUUUGCUCCUUCCUGAAGCUCUCUCUCACUCUGAAAAUUCCUCUGAAACUUCUACUCAUUCCGUAGCAUUUAGUAUUAUGCAAGUUACAAUUCAAAUCAUAGUCUAAAUUCUAAUAGAAAAGAGAGGAAGAUGAAACAUAAGAGGAAAGAAAAAAAGAGAAGGAAGAAUGAGAGAGAAAAUAAAAGGAUUGUCCAAAAAAGAGGAGAAAAAGAGGAAGAAAGAAAGAAAAGUGACGCAAGAUAAAGUCUACUUUGACAAAAUGACAGCUUUACGGUACCAUUUGGCUUAUCUAUUGGAUGAAACUAUGUAAUGUUCAACCCAAAAUAAAAAAUUAUAUGAGGACACUGCUUUCUUACUUAGAAGGAGACAUACCUACUUCCUCUAAAUCAAAAUUUGACACAUGUACAAAAAUAAUUCAUAAAAAACACAAAAAGAAUUUCAGCACACAUGCCGUGAUUAACAAAGUAGAAGUUUCUACUUCCAAGUGAAGUGAAGGUGGCAAGUAUUUUCGGUAUGUAAUGAGGAAAAAGAGAAAAGGACUUGGCAGAAUUUGUAAAACCAAUAUCAAGACCAGAAAAAAGAAGUGACUCUCUCUUCCAGAGGUUUUAGGGUUCAAUACAAGGAUUUAAAAAGAAGAAUAGUUUAUCUGCCAAAUUAUAAUUUCCACUACUUUUUAUGAAGACUCUCUGUCUCACGACAGAGUCGUCAGUUGGAAGGUAAGUACGUCUCCGUUAUGUUAUGCGUAUUUAUUCUACUUCAUUUACAACAUAUUUAUGGGAUUGAGCUUUGUAGAAUGGAGGAGGAGGAAGAGGAGGAUCUUGUGUCUGGGACCUUCACCUGGAGAAUCGACAACUUCUCCACGCUGAACAAGCAAACGCAUUAUUCUGAUGUUUUCGUCGUUGGUGGCUAUAAAUGGUAGACUUUUUAUUUUUAUUUUUAUUUUUUUCUGGGAUAAUAAUUGGUUAAUAUGUACACUUAAUCCUCUUGGGUUGGUUUGAUCAGGCGGAUCCUUAUAUUUCCCAAGGGGAACAACGUAGAUUACUUGUCCGUGUAUUUGGAUUUUGCAGAGGCUUCAACGUUGCCAUCUGGGUCGACCAGAUAUGCCAAGUUCAGGCUCACCCUGGUUAAUCAAGUUGAUAGCAAGAAGUCAAUCACAAAGGGUAUAUAUCUUUUGUGCUCAUGACCAUGUUGUUUAUUUCGCAAUUCGAAUUUAUGCUGGAUUUUUAUCUUGUGGCUUGUCAUUUGUUAAUUUAACUUGUUAAAUGGAAUUGAGUGAUUCUUUUUCCCACAAUUUUUUUUAAAACAAUCCUCCCACUAUCUCCUUAGAUAUGAUCUGGAUGGUUCAUCUUCUACACUAUAUAUUACUAUGCGACAUCAAAAUGCUUGUGUUAAAACGUGUAAGUCACUUGCAUUAAUUGUACUUCAUCUUAUUCUGCAUUCUUCAUUCUUCAGGUCCAAUGUCUUUCCCCUUGUCUCAGUCAAUUAUUUAUUUUGUUUGUUCUAUUAAUGGACGAAUAAGUAUGAAAAUGGUAAUGACCCUGUGAUCCUGUGUGAUUGAGAGAUUAUAGGCUGACCGAGAUGGCACAUAUAUAUGUCCGUAUAUCAUAUAUGGAACAUACUGUUUUCCAAUAGUCUAAGAUUGUUUCAUGAUCAGCCAUGAUGGUUUUCAUCCAUUAGUUCAUUUUGUUCUUAUCACUUCCUAUUGUUGUGGUCAGGCAUGCAUAUGACUCUUUUAGUUGUUUUUGUGAUGUCACCUAGUUCCUAGGCAUGCGAGGCCUAAGUUGUAAACUUGUAGAGUGGAAAACUAAUUAGUUUUAGUAAUCUUUAAUGGAGAAAUUCUAGCAUCCGCCAAUUUGAGUUUUUGUUCAAAAUUUUGUGGCAUAUUUAUCUCUACUAAAUACUAUAGGGAAGAGUGUUUGGAGUUCUGAGGAUCAUCAGUCCAACAUUUUAGUUUUGUUAUGGUUUUAGAUUUUUCUGCAAUGGAGUACUGAUAUAUGUGUUUCAUUUAACUUCCUAGUAUAUAUGUGCUCCAGGUAAAUGUUGGAGAAAUAAGCUAUACUGUAAUUAAGGCUUUUAAGUCAGCCAAAUAUUUUCUUACUUGUUAUGUUUCUUAUUUAUCUAUUCGCUUCAAUGCGCUUUCUAUAUCAUUCAUUUUGCUUUAUUAUCUGUUCAUUUAUAUGCUUGAUUCUUGGUUAAAGUUUUGUGAUCCUUGAUACAUUUAAUUUCAUAGAUACAGAACAUGAGUUUGUGGCAAAUGAGAAAGACUGGGGCUUUACAUCAUUCAUUCUUCUAAGUGAGCUUUGUGAUCAUGAUAAAGGGUAUCUUGUCAAUGAUUUCUGUGUUGUUGAAGUCGAAGUUUCAGUUCGUAAUGGCAUUAAGAUUUUAGAAGACCAAGAAACUGGGGAGCUUAUCGAUUUUAGGGGCUUAGGACGAGUAGAGAAAACUUUUGUUCCAUUUCUAGAGGAAGUUUGUUCGUCGUAUCCUUCCUUGCUCGAGUGCCAUAAGAAGAGAAGUCGUACGUUUAUUCAAUGUGCAUUUACAGCUUUGGGCAGACUCUUGUGUUUUCUGAAGACUACAAAGGCCAAGGAUAUGACCCGUGAUGCUUGUAAACGCCUUCAACUGUUAUGGGAGGAGCUUGAGACCUUCAAAUUUGACUUGGUUUGGCUGGAGCCUCAUGUUCAAUCGGUUUUGGUCAUGAAGAGAAGGGCAGGAAGAGUUGAUAGACUGAGAGAAGAUGUGGAAAUUUUGGAGAAUGAAAUAAAGAGGCGAAGGGAUGUCCUCGCUGCUGCAGAAGUUGAUCUCGAGGCAGCGAAAAGAGACUUGGCAAAGGCAGAAGAAGAGUUCAAGAUAGAUAUGGAUACUGAGCUAGGCUAUCCAUUACCUUAAUUUACUGUACAAGUUUCUCUUGGGUGCAUAUUUUUGUCUCUUUGCCGAAGAUAUCCAGUGUUACAUAUAAUAUGUACUAGUAAAACUUGGGCGGUUAUGAAUUUU